AAAUCUAAAACAUGCUUCCUGUUUGCAAUACGGCACUAAAGUAAAAUUGCAAAAAAUGUGGCAAUUUUCUUUACUUUGUCCGGAAUACAAAGCGUUUUGUUUGGGGAAAAUCCAACACAACAUAUCACCGAGUACCACUCUUCAUAUACUGUAUAUACAACUUUUUUAAGUUUGACUUUUUUAGGUUACUGCAUCAUGUUAUGGCUAUGCUUGUCAUCAGCAAGGACUUGGGAGUUUUUUUUUAGGAUGAAAAGAAAUGGAAUAGAGCUAAGCACAGGCAAAAUCCUGGAGGAUUGAGUCAAUAACCUGGUUCAGUCUGCUUUCCACCAGACACUGGGAGAUGAAUUCAUCUUUCAGCAGGACAAUAACCUACAACACAUCCACACUGGAGGUGCUCACCAAGAUGACAUUGGGAAUGCAUCUGGGAGGCCCAGCUACAGGUUUUGAAUGCAUCUGGGAGGCCCAGCUACAGGUUUUGAAUGCAUCUGGGAGGCCCAGCUACAGGUUUUGAAUGCAUCUGGGAGGCCCAGCUACAGGUUUUGUCAUCAAUCGGCUUGAAAAUCUAAUGCAAGACUUGAAAAUGUCUGUCUAGCAACGAUCAACAACCAACUUGACAGAACAAAUAUUGUACAAUCCAAAGUGUGCAAAGCUCUUAGAGACUUCCCCAGACAGACUCACAGCUGUAAUCGCUGCCAAAUGUGCUUCUGCAAAGUAUUGACUCAGGGGGUGUGAAUACUUCAGAAAAUUAUAUAUUCCUGCAUUUAAUUUUCAAUAAACUUGCAAAAUGAUGUAA